GAUGAACGCUGGCGGCGUGCCUAAUACAUGCAAGUCGAGCGAACGGACGAGAAGCUUGCUUCUCUGAUGUUAGCGGCGGACGGGUGAGUAACACGUGGAUAACCUACCUAUAAGACUGGGAUAACUUCGGGAAACCGGAGCUAAUACCGGAUAAUAUUUUGAACCGCAUGGUUCAAAAGUGAAAGACGGUCUUGCUGUCACUUAUAGAUGGAUCCGCGCUGCAUUAGCUAGUUGGUAAGGUAACGGCUUACCAAGGCAACGAUGCAUAGCCGACCUGAGAGGGUGAUCGGCCACACUGGAACUGAGACACGGUCCAGACUCCUACGGGAGGCAGCAGUAGGGAAUCUUCCGCAAUGGGCGAAAGCCUGACGGAGCAACGCCGCGUGAGUGAUGAAGGUCUUCGGAUCGUAAAACUCUGUUAUUAGGGAAGAACGUAUGUGUAAGUAACUAUGCACAUCUUGACGGUACCUAAUCAGAAAGCCACGGCUAACUACGUG
rnacentral:rRNA from 1 species